UGAGACGUUGAUGAUGCUCCUAUCACCAUGGUUAUGUGAUUGGGUAUAUCUUGCCCUCGGUCCUAACUGCCACUGUCUGUGCUGAGUUUUUCAAAGUUCAUAGCAGGUUGAACAUGCUUGCUGUCAUUUUCACAGAUUCUGGUCUUUCUUAUGGGGAACCUGAGUUCCUGCAUUAAAGUUCCCCCAGAAGAUCAAUGGAAGGUGGAUUCCAAAGAGUGGGCAAGUGAGGACCCCUUCUCUGUUACCAAGGUGACCCCAAGGAACACAGUAAAUGUGGCGGCUUAUUUGGCCUCCCCAGGACGGACUGGAGCAUCAGUAGUGCCUGAGUUCAUCAAAGGACAGAUGCUCAAGACACCUUGAUCACCAUUAGGUGGAAUUGAAGGAGCCAAAAAUGGGCGCAGUGGCUCCUCAGCAGAGACGCUCCUGAAUGUAUAGACAUGGGAACCACUUUCAGCAUCAAAAAAGGAAACGUUCUGCAUGCCCAUAUCCAGAAAAAUCCCCACUCGCUGUAACUUGCGGUCUACUAAGAGGAAAGUCAGCGGCACCGUGCUGGCAGAGAGGCGGCUUCCAUCCCUCAAACUCACAGUCCAGAAUCCAAGCUCUGUGGUCAGCUGGAUCUUCCCUUUGCAGUGAACAGAUUCUCUGCAGACUCCCAGGUCCCAUUCUGUGCUUGUUCCCACGUCCACCUCCCAGUAGUGGCGGCCACAGGUAAAGCGAGGGGAGCCCAGGAUGCAAACGGACACGUCAAAUCUCUCGGCAAGGUCUUGCCGAUUCUGUGUGAUGAGCCCACUUCGGACGCUCCUGAGGUCGUCAGAAAUGAGGAGGAAGUUGUUGGCUGUGUCGGCAUCCAAGGUCAUAUCCACUGUGAAAAGGAAAACAAGUUGCUCAGCAAGUGGACAGAAGCCAACCCCAUGCCUCUCUUCUACUUCAAAGGCCCAAAUAUCUCCUGACUUUAGUUUCUUUAAUUCUGUUUCUUCCUCCAAAAUCAAAACUUUUCAUGAGGAAACUUCCCUAUUUCAAAUUUUCAUAGGUAUGCUUUGUGGCAAUACGUGACUCUUAUUCACAGUAGCAAUUCUUAUUUUACUUUACGUCACGUGUUUGCUUCACUGAACUUUUCUUCAUUUAGAGUGGAGGGUCUCUGAAGGCAGACACCAUGCCCCCCUUUCUACCACCUUGAUGUGUGAACAAAUAAAUGAUAAUUAAGACAA
rnacentral:lncRNA from 1 species